rnacentral:ncRNA from 2 species
AGGGAAGAGGAGUGAAAUUCUCCCGCUGCCCCGCAGCCGUAAAGGGAACGAACGCCCACAAAAAGCCACUGUUAUGGGUAAUACCACAAUGGGAAGGCGGGCAAGUAGGUGGCCCUGAGCCGGAAGACCU